UGUCAGCUUUUGUGUUGGUGGCUGUAUGUACGCACACAUGUGACAUGUUUUCCUUAGAUGGGCGAGGCAACUUUGUCAAGCAAGCGCUUUUGCAUACCUAUUAAAUGUAUUUGGUAGCUCCCAGACUUUACAGCGAAUUAAUCAUCUCUUUAUUUAAAAAAUUGUUGGUGUUCUACUCUCAAGAGAUAUUAUGGCUGCCAUUUUUUGUCAU
rnacentral:lncRNA from 1 species